UACGGAGGGUGCGAGCGUUGUCCGGAAUCAUUGGGCGUAAAGAGCUCGUAGGCGGCUUGUCGCGUCGGAUGUGAAAGCCCGGGGCUUAACCCCGGGUCUGCAUUCGAUACGGGCAGGCUAGAGGUCGGUAGGGGAGAUCGGAAUUCCUGGUGUAGCGGUGAAAUGCGCAGAAAUCAGGAGGAACACCGGUGGCGAAGGCGGAUCUCUGGGCCGAUACUGACGCUGAGGAGCGAAAGCGUGGGGAGCGAACAGG
rnacentral:rRNA from 1 species